UGAGCUAUCGCUGCCUCGUGCCUGUACACCGAACGCUCGGCAUGGCGAUCCGCGUCGGUCGCGCUGGGUGGUAUGGUUCCCCAGAGGCCGGUUCUUGUGCUGCCUACCCCUUGAGGGGAAGAGUUCCAAAUCGGAUGUAAGCCUCCAUCCGGCGCCCUCCAAAGGGCGCGGGAGGACAACGGAGCACCCCCCGCGUUCCACCGAGCCUCCUCGGUCGCGUGGCCCGCGGGGACGUGCGAUGCUCUCGGACCCAGCGAACGCCGUGGGCGAGGACUCACGUCCCGGUCCCAAGUGAAGCAACGGUAUAACGCCGACGGCCGCUCCCGCCCCCCGACCGCCCCGGCGGCGCGGGGCGAAGGCGCGGCGUCGCUGAGGAAUGCUACCU
rnacentral:misc_RNA from 1 species